AAGUCGUAACAAGGUUUCCGUAGGUGAACCUGCGGAAGGAUCAUUAACACGUAUCCAACGUUAAACCCCCCGUGAACCAUGUCAGUGACUCUUGGGGAGCCUAAUUUCAACAGCAAUCUGGUAAAUCAGUGGCGACAGUCGUUAUUUGAUUCAGACCUCUGUUGAAAGGGUAACCCCAAUCGAGUGCUUUGCUAGUGGUCUGGCUUUCUACCUGGCUUGAGGGAGCGUAAAACAGGUGGAAUAACGCAUUUGCGAUCGCUAGAGGUUCACACGAGCCGGCGGACAGAAAACAGGGACUAGAUCCCCCCUACGACGACCAAGUUGAACUGGAAUCCUCAUCACGCAUAGCAAGUGCGCCGCGGGUGAGCUCAAAACGUACAACUGUUAACAAUGGAUAUCUUGGUUCUC
rnacentral:misc_RNA from 1 species